GGUACCUGAUAUGACCUGGUUCUAUCCAAAUUCUUCCCUGGGAAGACUGACAUGGAAAUUGGAAAAAACAGAAGUUCAUCUUUUUUGGGGUUCCUGGAUGAAAACAAUGAGUUCUUCAGUGUGUCAUUACCUACCUGUGCAGAGCUGGGGAAGACUCUGAACUUCAGACUGGGAGGAAAACCUUCAUCUGUUAAUAAAAGGAAUCAGACCUUUCCAGGCCAAGUUAUAAAACUGAGCAGAUGAAAAUAAUCUCAUGCUCUGAUGAGUAAACACAAAAAAGGCUGAAGCCAAGCCGGGGUUGGAGCAGCCGGGGAGACCGCCCACAGCCUCUCCUCCCUUCCCUGAACAACCCGCUCCACGAGAGACCACUAAGUUACCGUGGGCCUCUGCAGCCCCUGGAGCUUUGGAAGGCAGGAGACCCAUGUCAGCCAUCUCUGGGUUUUUUUCCAGCAAGUUGUUUGACUUCGGGAUGCCCUGGACGGCUGGCCACGCCUGCCAAGCCCUGCCUUCCCUUCCUGCGGAGCACCCACCAAGCACAACUUAGGGGAGCGUCCAAAAAAAAAGUCUGGGUGAUCCCUGGAAGGAAACAACAAAAAAAUUGGUACAGCACUGGCUUAAAUUGAAAAACGAAACCAAAAACUUUAAAUGAAGCAUUUAAUUGGUUUAUUAAUGAAUUUGAAGUCACUGAUCAGAACUGCCAUGCAUUGAGUAGUUAGCUAUGUAUCAGGCCCUCAACAUGCACAAUGCCAGGUAAAUGUCCUCCUCAUCAUCUCAGGUCAGUAGAGAUACUGUCCCCAUUUUACAGAUGGAGAAUUAGAGGAUCAGAGAGGUUAAGCAGUUUGGUGACAAUCAAAUAGUAAGUCGUGGAACCGAGCACCAAAACCUGUUUUCACCCCUCUUUGGGUGUCUUAUCCCAACCACCAAAUAUCAGAAUCUUAGUGUAGAAAAGAACUUUGAAGUUCACCUAAUUCAAUUGCUCAUCCCAAGCCAGAACUUUCUUUUAUAGCAAUGAUUUAUAGACUCUGGCAGGUUUUGAUGGGUCAUAUUAAAAUCAUUAACAAACCAACAAAACCAAAAAACAAGUUCUGAGACCACUUCCCUCCCUCACCUCUGCCCCAGCACCCGCACCUUCCUUUGCCUUCGCUUUCUGAUUCUGGGGCUUUGCACAGACCUCUGGAGAUUCAUCUACAAAGGCUUCUGAAGUGUUUCU